rnacentral:hammerhead_ribozyme from 1 species
CUUAGGAGUCCCACAAUAGGACGAAACGGCCGUCAAG